rnacentral:rRNA from 1 species
AGUUUGAUCAUGGCUCAGAUUGAACGCUGGCGGCAUGCUUUACACAUGCAAGUACGAACGGCAGCGGCGGGGGCAACCCUGGCGGCGAGUGGCGAACGGGUGAGUAAUGCAUCGGAACGUAUCCUGUAAUGGGGGAUAACGUAGCGAAAAGUUACGCUAAUACCGCAUACGCUCGAGAGAGGAAAGUGGGGGAUCGCAAGACCUCACGUUAUAGGAGCGGCCGAUGUCCGAUUAGCUAGUUGGUGGGGUAAAAGGCCUACCAAGGCGACGAUCGGUAGCUGGUCUGAGAGGAUGAUCAGCCACACUGGGACUGAGACACGGCCCAGACUCCUACGGGAGGCAGCAGUGGGGAAUUUUGGACAAUGGGCGAAAGCCUGAUCCAGCCAUGCCGCGUGCGGGAAGAAGGCCUUCGGGUUGUAAACCGCUUUAGUCCGGGAAAAAGGGGUGCGAGGAUAAUACCCUCGUGCUUUGAUGGUACUGGAAGAAUAAGCACCGGCUAACUACGUG